rnacentral:lncRNA from 1 species
CUUCGUGGCAAUUUUAAAUAUUUCUGCUCGAGGCUUUGAGGCGUCAUUUUGACUCGAAGUUUGGGAAAGUACACAUCAAAGUUAGCACAAAACUUCGCUUUUAUAAAACGUUUUGGAAAUAGAAUCGUUAUACCAUGCAGAGCGAAAGGUCAGUAUUAAAUUUAGCUAGUUUUUAAACGUUUUUGAGUUGUUCUUGUUAAGUUAUUGCUGUUUUUAAAACACGUGUCUAUAUUCAUUGUAGUACACGCAUUGAAUUUGAUUCCCAUUCAAGCCGCUUCGUUUCAGCGCUCAGUCGCUUUAUUAUCUCAGUGUUUCUCCUUAAUAUGCUAGCAGUAAUGUUCAGAAAUGCCCCAGCUUUGGUUCAUUUAACUCAUAUUUAGUUUAUCUGCAAUUUCAGGGCGAAAAUUUGAAGAGAAAAUGAACUAAUUUAAGUCGCCGACAUGGUCGAAAUGCCGAAGCACAUGGUAAGCAUAUAAUGUCCAUUAAAGACGUUUCCUUGUUUUGUUUCUCGUUUUUAAGCUUCCCCUAUACACUUAGAAUGUCUUCUAGCAUUGCUUUGUAGCCUUAUGAACACUCUGAGUCAACUUUAGUUACAAUAUUGGUGAAACUUUUGUCCAUACCGAACGAAUUGCCAACUUAUUUUAGGCAUGUUCAAUUUCAAAGACAGGCGUGGCAUAUCAUUUUCGAACAUUUUAGCUUUUACAAACUGGUCGUUUAUGUACAAAUUGUUCUCUGAGAGGGAAGGCUAAGCUUUUUGAGUUUAUUGAGGUUGUCUAAGUUGAAUUUCAUCCCAUAUUUUCACGAAAUUUAGAGAUGAAAUGUCCUCGUGGUUCAUGCCGUAAAUUUAUGCAUACAUGCACGCAUUCUUUAAAAUUAAAAUAUUGAAUUGAAUAACCGUACCCUGUGGUCAAUAAACGACAUUGAAUAACUCUUAGUUGUUUUGAAACUAAAAAUUAAUUGUCAAAUUACUUUUUAGACUGCUUCAAAGUCGAUCAUUUCAAAGGCAAACAGUACAGAAAGACCUAUGCACAGAUUUGAACAGGCGCUCGCCUAACAAUCGAAGCAAAACGAGAAAGACGAAAAGACAAAGGACAAAUGAAACCAGCCACCAGCUCGAUUCCUUCGCGAACCCACAGCAUUCAUUGUCAGAUUUCGCUUGUGCAAAGUUUGGAAGAGAUUGCCACUCAUCCAGAGACUGUAAGUGUAACGAAGGCAUAUAAUAACAUACUCGAACUGUCUGUGUCAGCGUAGAUAGUGAUAAUGAUACCAAAAAGCUCCAGGUUGAGAGGAAUUCAUACAACUACCUGAAAAAUACGAGAAAAACUUAACAUGCAGAUAGCCUGGCAGUGACGAACCGCUCGAAAGCAGAUACACCCAGUAUCACUGAUCAUCAUUAGAUUUCGUUCAAUCAGCCAAUUGUGAAUGAGAAGACAAUCAGCCUAUAUUGUCAAGACAUGGCAAGCGUCGUUAAAGAUGUUGUAUACAUUUCGUGAUUCUCGUUGUGCGUGUUCGAAAGUAUACGUGGGACGCCACCCUGAAGACGCCCAAAUGCACAAAACAAAUUUGAAUAUGGCACAUUUUCCUUAAUUUCGCAAUUUAUUUAAAUUUUCUACAUUUCUUGGUAUUUGUGAAAAGCUCUUAACGAAAUCGAAAUGUUUGAAAUUCGGAAGUUUCUAUCUGGGAGUUUGUUUAUGUGAAAGAUAUUUGAAAUGAAAUUUUGAAGUUUACAUCACUUUGAUAUUUGGUUUAAACGCUAGGUAAAAUCAUGCCAGAGGAGUGGUCGACCAUUCGUCGAAGUUUGGUGAUACUUCCGCUCGGACUUUCCCGACCUACAGUCGAGUUGCUCUGAUCGAUUUUCGUGAUCAACUAGCACAGGUGCAAGGUCUGGCCAACCUUACAUCAGUGCUUUUUGUUCGUUGCAUGAGAUUGGGACAGCUCGCCUGUAGGCCUGGAAAGAUCAAGCCGAAGCACGACCAAACUUUGAUUUGUGGCCGGCUUUUUGUCUGUAUCCAGCAUUUUUCCGUUAUCACUUUGAUGUAGACUUUGGGAUUUUGGCUUGAAUAUUUUUAAUAUAAACAUUCUUUGAGGUUUAAUCUUUCAAGAAUUUCAUUGUUUUUGACUAGUUAAUGUGUUUCUCGUAGAUACUAUAAUUGCAUUAAAAAUAUUGACCAAAAAAUUUAAAACUGACCAAAACAUCAUUUGAGGUGUCGGAUGGGAGGGUCCAGUGGGCGUCGUAGCGGAUACCAAUGGAUAAAUACGGAUUACUGUGACACUGUACUAUUGAAGAUAUUGUGAACAUUUAUGGAUAAUUGUGAACAUUAAUGGUUACAACGAACACUUAUGGAUUAUUAUGAACAUUGUGGAUAAAAUGUACCUCGCCAUCGACGGUUACCUACCAAUGUACCUUGACAACGAUAGCUACACAACAGCAACAAGAUGACUGCCUCAAGGUUAGAAGGUUUAGUCUGAUAACAAGCAGUUGUUAGCUUGUUAUCAGGCAGUAGUUAGCCUGCUAUCAAGCAGAAGUUAGCCUGCUAACAGGCAGUAUAUCUGUAGGAUUUAUACCCAGGACUCUAAUUUGCAUGUGGUCGGUGGAGUCUCUGGGUUAACCGGUUUAAAAUUCCUGGCGGUCUGUCGUUGGUAGUACAUCUGCACGCAAGGUUGAUUUUUAUUCAGAUGUUUGCAUGCUAAUAAAAAUUGAGGUACAAUUUUGACCUCAGUUAAUCAGAAUUUCGACAUCAUCAGCAAUAGAAAAUCAAUCUUAAAGAGGUUAACAUUUGAGCUUUCGGUCACGUGGUUCGUUGCAUGCACUCGGUUCGGUUAUUGGUGGGUUUCAGUAAGUGUUACAAUCCAAAAGAUGGUCAAUAUCAGAAAUGUUGGCACUUCCUGGAGCAAUUUAUUUGCUUCAAAUACAAGACUACUACAUAAAGUGAAAAAGAGUGAACAUUAUUUUUUCACUCUAGUAACUCGUAGUGAGACCCACUAGGUAUUUGCGGUCUGUUCGUGCCAAUGUUGUUCUCUUUGUGUAAAUGUACUGCUUAGGUGUGUCUGUGCAUGAUCAACGCAGCGCGCAGCUAGGUAUCCAGAAUAUAGGCAGACAAGUAAAACCUUGCCAUACUUAAAAAUUUUGUUUAUAUCGAUAUGUUAUGUUCAUAAAUGUACAGAAAUAUCAUGAAAUGUGUUAGGCUUUGGCUUGGGGUUAAAUCUAACCCUAUAACCUUAACCUUAAUCCAUUACAUGAUCUGUAUAUUUGUGAACGUAAUAUAUGGGUGUUGCCAAA